UACGGGGGGGGGCAAGCGUUGUUCGGAAUUACUGGGCGUAAAGCGUGCGCAGGCGGUGAUGUAAGACCGAUGUGAAAUCCCCGGGCUUAACCUGGGAACUGCAUUGGUGACUGCAUCGCUCGAGUAUGGCAGAGGGGGGUAGAAUUCCACGUGUAGCAGUGAAAUGCGUAGAGAUGUGGAGGAAUACCGAUGGCGAAGGCAGCCCCCUGGGUCAAUACUGACGCUCAUGCACGAAAGCGUGGGGAGCAAACAGG
rnacentral:rRNA from 1 species